UCUCGAUUGGUCUAGUGGUGAGGAUACCUGCUUGUCAUUGGAGUGUCUCCCUAGCGCACACCAAAAGUGGAUCCUAGAUAUACGAGAUACCAAGUAACAGGCCGCAGGUGGCCGGGGUUCGAUUCCCCGAUCGAGAG